UACGUAGGAUGCAAGCGUUGUCCGGAAUUACUGGGCGUAAAGGGCGCGCAGGUGGCACUACAAGUCUGAUGUAAAAUCUCCCGGCUUAACUGGGAGGGGCCAUUGGAAACUGUAGAGCUGGAGUGCAGGAGAGGCUAACGGAAUUCCCGGUGUAGUGGUGAAAUGCGUAGAGAUCGGGAGGAACACCUGUGGCGAAGGCGGCUCGCUGGGCCGGUCCUGACGCUGAUAUGCGAAGGCGUGGGGAGCGAACGGG
rnacentral:rRNA from 1 species